rnacentral:rRNA from 1 species
UCCUACGGGGGGCAGCAGUGGGGGAUAUUGCACAAUGGGGGGAACCCUGAUGCAGUGACGCCGCGUGGGUGAAGAAGCGUUUCGGCGCGUAAAGCCCUGUCAGCAGGGAAGAAGAUGACGGUACCUGACCAAGAAGCCCCGGCUAACUACGUGCCAGCAGCCGCGGUAAUACGUAGGGGGCAAGCGUUAUCCGGAUUUACUGGGUGUAAAGGGGGCGCAGACGGCGAUGCAAGCCAGGAGUGAAAGCCCGGGGCCCAACCCCGGGACUGCUCUUGGAACUGCGUGGCUGGAGUGCAGGAGGGGCG